UCAGCCAAAACACUCUAGGGUCCUCUUCAA
rnacentral:piRNA from 1 species